GUGGGUGACCUGCCCCGAAGUUGGGAAUAACGGUUCGGAAGAAUCGCUAAUACCGCAUACGAUCGCAGCUUCGUUGUUGCGAUCAAAGCCGCAAGGCGCUUUGGGAGGGGCCUGCGUCCGAUUAGCUUGUUGGUGGGGUAACGGCCUACCAAGGCGACGAUCGGUAGCUGGUCUUAGAGGAUGAUCAGCCAGACUGGGACUGAGAACGGCCCAGACUCCUACGGGAGGCAGCAGUAAGGAAUUUUCCACAAUGGGCGAAAGCCUGAUGGAGCAACGCCGCGUGGGCGAAGAAGGCCUUCGGGUCGUAAUGCCCUUUUCCGGGGGAAGAUAAUGACGGUACCCCGGGAAUAAGCCACGGCUAACUACGUGCCAGCAGCCGCGGUAAUACGUAGGUGGCGAGCGUUGUCCGGAUUUACUGGGCGUAAAGAGCGCGAAGGUGGCGCUUUAAGUUGGGCGUGAAAUCCCCCGGCUCAACUGGGGGCGGUCGUCCAAUACUGGAGCACUUGAGGGUGGACGGGGAGAGCGGAAUUCCCGGUGUAGUGGUGAAAUGCGUAGAUAUCGGGAGGAACACCAGUGGCGAAGGCGGCUCUCUAGACCAUUCCUGACACUCAAGCGCGAAAGCGUGGGUAGCGAACGGAAUUAGAUACUCCGGUAGUCCACGCUGUAAACGAUGAACACUAGGUGUAGUGGGUAUCGACCCCCACUGUGCCGCAGCUAACGCAAUAAGUGUUCCGCCUGGGGACUACGGCCGCAAGGUUAAAACUCAAAGGAAUUGACGGGGGCCCGCACAAGCAGCGGAGCGUGUGGUUUAAUUCGACGUAACGCGAAGAACCUUACCGGGGUUUGACAUGUACACGUAAGCGGCGGAAACGUCGCCCUUCGCAAGAACGGGUACACAGGUGCUGCAUGGCUGUCGUCAGCUCGUGCCGUGAGGUGUUGGGUUAAGUCCCGCAACGAGCGCAGCCCUUGUCGCUAGUUGAAUUCUCUAGCGAUACUGCCGAGGAUAACUUGGAGGAAGGUGGGGAUGACGUCAAGUCAGCACGGCCCUUACAUCCCGGGCUACACACACGCUACAAUGGACGGUACAGAGGGUCGCCAAGCCGCGAGGCGGAGCCAAUCCCACAAAACCGUCCCCAGUUCAGAUUGCAGGCUGCAACCCGCCUGCAUGAAGUCGGAGUUGCUAGUAACCGCAAGUCAGCAUAUUGCGGUGAAUAUGUUCCCGGGCCUUGUACACACCGCCCGUCACGUCAUGAAAGCCGGUAACACCUGAAGUCACUGGGCUAACCCGCAAGGGGGGCAGGUGCCGAAGGUGGGGCU
rnacentral:rRNA from 1 species